rnacentral:misc_RNA from 1 species
GUCCGUCUCACUCGGGUAUGGUCUGCAGCGACGGCCGCCACUGCCCCUCCUCCCUGUGCCGGAAGUUGGAGCUAGUGCUGGCCACGCACAGGAGCUCCGAGAUGACGUCCUGGACGGGCACUCCGCAGCCACCGCCGUGCUUGCCGUCCUCUACGCGCCGCAGCAGCUCCUCCAGCUGCUUCCUAGUGAUCCUGAUCUUCACCUCCGUGGCCGCCGCCGGCGCGUGGCCGGCGCCCUCGCCCUCGCCCUUGCACGCCUCCUCCCUCCUGUCCUCCACCCACACGGGGUUCGUCCUGGCGUAAUGCACGGAGCCCGCACUGCCGCUGCCACCGCGACGAGGCCUCUCGAGACAGCAGUUUCCCAUCGAUCGGGUUCCCCCUGGUGGGCACGGCACGGGAACUGGAUACGGAUCGGCUGCUGCUGGAGGCGAAGGACGAGCGAGUUUCGUCCGUGUGCAGUGUGGCCGAAAUGAUUGGUGCGUGG